UACGUAGGGUGCGAGCGUUAAUCGGAAUUACUGGGCGUAAAGCGUGCGUAGGCGGUUCGUUAAGUUCGUUGUGAAAGCCCCGGGCUCAACCUGGGAAUGGCAAUGGAAACUGGCGGGCUGGAGUAUGGCAGAGGGGGGUGGAAUUCCGCGUGUAGCAGUGAAAAUGCGUAGAGAUGCGGAGGAACACCAAUGGCGAAGGCAGCUCGCUGGGACGGUACUGACGCUGAGACGCGAAAGCGUGGGGAGCAAACAGG
rnacentral:rRNA from 1 species